UAAGGUAGUAUUAGUUAUGUUCUUGAAACUUAAAAAAUUUGGCGGUAUUUUAGUCUAUUCAGAGGAACUUGUUUUAUAAUCGAUAAUCCACGAUGGACCUUACUUAAAUUUGUAAUCAGUUUAUAUAUCGUUGUUAUUAGAAUAUUUUAUAAGAAUUUUAAUUUUCAUAAUUUUUUAUAAAAAAAUAUAUCAGAUCAAGGUGUAGCUUAUAUUUAAGUAAAAAUGAGUUACAAUAAAUUUAUUUAUAUGAAUAUAAAUUUGAAAUAUUUAUUGAAGGUGGAUUUGAUAGUAAAAUUAUAAAGAAAAAUAAU
rnacentral:rRNA from 1 species